GACAGAGGGUGCAAACGUUGUUCGGAAUUACUGGGCGUAAAGCGCGUGUAGGCGGCUCGGAAAGUCGGGUGUGAAAGCCCUGGGCUCAACCCAGGAAGUGCACUCGAAACUCCCGAGCUGGAGUCCCGGAGAGGAAAGUGGAAUUCUCGGUGUAGAGGUGAAAUUCGUAGAUAUCGAGAGGAACAUCUGUGGCGAAGGCGGCUUUCUGGACGGUGACUGACGCUGAGACGCGAAAGCGUGGGGAGCAAACAGG
rnacentral:rRNA from 1 species